UGCAGCCUUGUCAAAUUCAGUGCAUCCUCCUCAGUGGGUGUUACUGGCCAAAAUGGCUGCCACAGUAAAUGUGUAGUUUAAUGUGCCCCAUUGUACUCCAACAUGGCCUCUGGGGUUAAUAUGUACUACACACAAAU